rnacentral:rRNA from 1 species
GACGAACGCUGGCGGCGUGCUUAACACAUGCAAGUCGAGCGGAAAGGCCCUUCGGGGUACUCGAGCGGCGAACGGGUGAGUAACACGUGAGUAACCUGCCCCAGACUUUGGGAUAACCCUCGGAAACGGGGGCUAAUACCGAAUAUGACUGCCGGCCGCAUGGCCUGGUGGUGGAAAGUUUUUCGGUUUGGGAUGGACUCGCGGCCUAUCAGCUUGUUGGUGGGGUAAUGGCCUACCAAGGCGACGACGGGUAGCCGGCCUGAGAGGGCGACCGGCCACACUGGGACUGAGACACGGCCCAGACUCCUACGGGAGGCAGCAGUGGGGAAUAUUGCACAAUGGGCGGAAGCCUGAUGCAGCGACGCCGCGUGAGGGAUGACGGCCUUCGGGUUGUAAACCUCUUUCAGCAGGGACGAAGCGUAAGUGACGGUACCUGCAGAAGAAGCGCCGGCCAACUACGUGCCAGCCGCCGCCGUAACAC